rnacentral:rRNA from 1 species
GACGGACGCUGGCGGCGUGCCUAAUACAUGCAAGUAGAACGCACAGUUUAUACCGUAGCUUGCUACACCAUAAACUGUGAGUUGCGAACGGGUGAGUAACGCGUAGGUAACCUGCCUGGUAGCGGGGGAUAACUAUUGGAAACGAUAGCUAAUACCGCAUAAUAUUGAUUAUUGCAUGAUAAUUGAUUGAAAGAUGCUAUUGCAUCACUACCAGAUGGACCUGCGUUGUAUUAGCUAGUAGGUGAGGUAACGGCUCACCUAGGCGACGAUACAUAGCCGACCUGAGAGGGUGAUCGGCCACACUGGGACUGAGACACGGCCCAGACUCCUACGGGAGGCAGCAGUAGGGAAUCUUCGGCAAUGGACGAAAGUCUGACCGAGCAACGCCGCGUGAGUGAAGAAGGUUUUCGGAUCGUAAAGCUCGGUUGUAAGAGAAGAACGGGUGUGAGAGUGGAAAGUUCACACUGUGACGGUAUCUUACCAGAAAGGGACGGCUAACUACGUG